GCCUUCGUGGUGUAGUGGUCAGCAAGUUGGACGCGUACUCCAGAGGUCCGUGGUUCGACUCCCGGUGAGAGCA
rnacentral:tRNA from 1 species